AGCGAACGCUGGCGGCAGGCUUAACACAUGCAAGUCGAGCGGGCGUAGCAAUACGUCAGCGGCAGACGGGUGAGUAACGCGGGGGAACGUACCUUUUGGUUCGGAACAACACAGGGAAACUUGUGCUAAUACCGGAUAAGCCCUUACGGGGAAAGAUUUAUCGCCGAAAGAUCGGCCCGCGUCUGAUUAGCUAGUUGGUGAGGUAACGGCUCACCAAGGCGACGAUCAGUAGCUGGUCUGAGAGGAUGAUCAGCCACAUUGGGACUGAGACACGGCCCAAACUCCUACGGGAGGCAGCAGUGGGGAAUAUUGGACAAUGGGGGCAACCCUGAUCCAGCCAUGCCGCGUGAGUGAUGAAGGCCCUAGGGUUGUAAAGCUCUUUUGUGCGGGAAGAUAAUGACGGUACCGCAAGAAUAAGCCCCGGCUAACUUCGUG
rnacentral:rRNA from 1 species